GGCCUUUGGGGUGAUCAUCUAAUCGCCAUAUAUCGAGGGUCGCCCAGGAGUUUUUAGGGAACAAGACAUGUUUUGCGAUGGAACAAAGCCAAAAGUCAUAGGGAACAUGGUUGAAACUUUGUCUAAUUCAAUUCAAAGAACCUGUUCGCAGGCUAUCUUUGUGGAAAACAAGGGAGCCCCCCGCCCCCUCUACAUAUCCCAGGUUAAAUGAACAGUACAACGCUCAUGCACAUGAAAUUUAGAAUGUUUAUUCUCUAAUUCAAAUAUGAUAAAUUACAAAUACACCACAGACAAUCUGUGCCAGAGGCACUGUAAACUAAAUCAAUAAGUUUCUGUCGACAGUUCAUGUAAUGCGGCGUCGGUCAUAACACGAGUUGUCCUAUACUAGCUUUGAAUGAUUGAAUGUAUCUACUAAAAAUAUUCCUUAAACUUUUAUGUAUUUUUACAGUUAUAAAGUAAGCCCAAAUAUGCUUGUCUUGACUUUGCCAUAGUUUCAGAGCGAUAUAGUAUUUACGAUUCAAUUUGUAUUUGCGCAUUUUCCGCCCAACACAGCCGAGAUUCUAUCCCUUGCCUGCAAGCCUGCUUUUGAGCCCGGUGUGAGCUAACGACUUCGACAUACGGUAAAUUUCAUUGGUCCAACGGAAAACCAGGGUGUUUCGCCCAUUUCUACUCAGGAAAAUUUUCCGUAGAAAGAAAAUUUUGUAAAAUGUGAUCGGCCGACACAAAUUUUCCGUCGGAAAAAAAAAUUUUGAAGUUGAAAAUUUUCAACCCAAUGACAUUUUGGGAAAAUUUUCUGCCCGUGGAAAUUGUUCUCGAGCAGAAAUGGACCUAAAAGCCCUUACAACCUAAUAAAAAUUGGUCUCUGAAAUGCCAAUAUUCCGGUCUCUUUCAGAGAACAAACGCCGCUCCUAUUCCUAGCUCUACAAUUAGAUAUAUAUAUCAAGAGCUAAGGCCUCGUCCACACCACAGAGUAGAUAAGACAUACAGAGACGUAACUGACCGUUGUAAACACUGCGGAAGAUUACGUUAUCAUGUACCCACUUUUUUUCAGGCGACCGGGCGAAAAAUGAUCAACUGCGCGUGCUCAGCAAGUUUAAAGUGAG
rnacentral:lncRNA from 1 species